rnacentral:rRNA from 1 species
UGAGGAAUAUUGGUCAAUGGUCGGGAGACUGAACCAGCCAAGCCGCGUGAGGGAUGAAGGUGCUAAGCAUUGUAAACCUCUUUUGUCAGGGAACAAAGGCAUCCACGAGUGGGUGUGUGAGUGUACCUGAAGAAAAAGCAUCGGCUAACUCCGUGCCAGCAGCCGCGGUAAUACGGAGGAUGCGAGCGUUAUCCGGAUUUAUUGGGUUUAAAGGGUGCGUAGGCGGCCUGUUAAGUCAGCGGUAAAAGCCCGGGGCUCAACCCGGCGAGCGUUGAACUCGCUGGCUGGAGUUGGCGAGAGGUAUGCGGAAUGCGCGGUGUAGCGGUGAAAUGCUUAGAUAUCGCGCAGAACUCCGAUUGCGAAGGCAGCAUGCCGGCGCCACACUGACGCUGAGGCACGAAAGCGUGGGGAUGCAAAGCAGGAUUAGAUACC